rnacentral:tRNA from 5 species
GGUCGCUUAGCUCAAUGGCUAGAGCAUUUGAUUUACAUUCAAAGGGUUGGGGGUUCGAAUCCCUCAGCGACCACUA